UACGUAGGUGGCAAGCGUUGUCCGGAUUUACUGGGCGUAAAGGGCGUGCAGGCGGUCUGUUAAGUGCAGGGUGAAAGCUCCCGGCUCAACUGGGAGAGGUCCUUGCAUACUGGCGGACUUGAGGGGGGUAGAGGAAAGUGGAAUUCCCGGUGUAGUGGUGAUAUGCGUAGAUAUCGGGAGGAACACCUGUGGCGAAGGCGGCUUUCUGGGCCCUACCUGACGCUGAGACGGCGAAAAGCG
rnacentral:rRNA from 1 species